rnacentral:rRNA from 1 species
GGGGGCCCGCACAAGCAGCGGAGCAUGUGGUUUAAUUCGACGCAACGCGAAGAACCUUACCAAGGCUUGACAUGCAGGGAAAAGCGGCGGAAACGUCGUGUCCGCAAGGGCCCUGCACAGGUGGUGCAUGGCUGCCGUCAGCUCGUGUCGUGAGAUGUUGGGUUAAGUCCCGCAACGAGCGCAACCCCUGUCGUAUGUUGCCAGCAUUAAGUUGGGGACUCAUACGAGACUGCCGGCGUCAAGCCAGAGGAAGGUGGGGAUGACGUCAAGUCAUCAUGCCCCUUAUGUCUUGGGCUGCACACGUGCUACAAUGCCCGGUACAAUGGGCUGCGAUGCCGCGAGGCGGAGCGAAUCCCAUAAAACCGGGCCCAGUUCGGAUCGAAGGCUGCAACUCGCCUUCGUGAAGUCGGAGUUGCUAGUAAUCGCGGAUCAGCACGCCGCGGUGAAUACGUUCCCGGGCCUUGUACACACCGCCCGUCACACCACCCGAGUUGUCUGCACCCGAAGUCGCUGGCCCAACCCGUAA